rnacentral:rRNA from 1 species
AUUGAACGCUGGCGGCAGGCCUAACACAUGCAAGUCGAACGAGUGGCGGACGGGUGAGUAAUGUCUGGGACACUGCCCGAUGGAGGGGGAUAACUACUGGAAACGGUAGCUAAUACCGCAUACCAUCGGAUGUGCCCCGAUGGGAUUAGCUUGUAGGUGAGGUAACGGCUACCCUAGGCUGCGAUCCCUAGCUGGUCUGAGAGGCUGACCAGCCACACGUGUACUGAGACACGGUCAGGACUCUUACGGUAGUCAGCUUGGCGGAUGAUUGCACAAUGGGCGCUAGUCUGAUGCAUCCAGGCGGCGUUUAUGGAGAGCACCUUCUGGUUGUAAAGUACAUUCAGCGGGGAGGCGUUGCCCGCAGAAGAGGCAGCUGCUAACUCCGUAGCAGCAGCCGCGGUAAUAC